UCCUAUAGGNGACANGGNGNCGAUAUCAGGCACAUAUAAAUAGCCCAUGACAUCUUGCUAAGCCACACCCCCAAGGGAAAUCAGCAGUGAUAAACAUUAAGCCAUAAGUGAAAACUUGACUUAAUUAAAGCUAUAUAGGGCCGGUAAAACUCGUGCCAGCCACCGCGGUUAUACGAGAGACCCAAGUUGAUAAAACACGGCGUAAAGCGUGGUUAAGAAAACCUAAAAAUAAAGUCGAAUAUUUCCAAGGCUGUUAUACGCACCCGAAAAUUAGAAGUCCAACUACGAAAGUGACUUUAUACCACUGAACC
rnacentral:rRNA from 1 species